GUGAGAUUAUUGGUGUGUGUGUGUAUGUGCGCGCAUGCAGUGGGGGUUUCUAUUGUGAGUACCGAAGAGCUUUCUCAUCUUAGAAUAUGUAUGUCUAUUGAAGCUGUGGAUUCUAAUCCAAAUCGAGGCGAAUUUGUCAUAUGUGAAUAAUGCUAGGGCGGUGAGAGUCAGUAGUUUUCUACUGUUAUGUCAUGGAUUUUGCAGCAUGCUCCCUUUCAACUAUCCUCGGAUGCUUAUGCAUAAUAAAUUGGAGGUUCUAACUUCUAACUUCACAUAAUGUAGUCUAAACCAUGAGGCAAUCACUUCACUGAGUUCUGCAACCCUCACAUAAUGCAGUUCUCUGUUGCGGCUAGAUGGCUGGAUGCAGUUUUUCAUUUGAAAGCCUUGAUGGACUUUUGGAGCUGAAGCUUUCAUGUUUGUUUUUGCCUAGCGAUCGGCAAGGACUAGAUGAGCAUCGGCAUCGCAACCAUAGCGAUCAACCUAGCGCCGAACCUUCAGGUGGCGCUCUUCAAAGCGACGUCGCACGGCGAGCAAGAAGCACGUACAGGAGAUCAUCAUCGUCGCGAGCCGAGUAUUGGCGCCUGUUUCAAAGGAGGUUUUUGUAUUGAAUCUGGGCUCCUUUUGGACUCUUCUCGAUUGCAGUCCUGGUUUUGUUAGCCUUUCACCAUAAUCAGCAUGAAGAUCGGGUCGAACAGCCUAUACUAGAGAACCUUUUAUUAAUGGUGAAGCAGUACCAUAUGAUCCCAAGUACCAUGAGGAAUGGAUAAGAAACAAUAGCCGAGCAAACGAGAGAAACAGACGCAAUGACAGACCUCGAAAUUAUGGCAGAUCAAGGAACUUUGAUAGGAGGAGGGAAAAUAUGCAGAACCGAGAUUUUCAGAAUAGGGGUCAGCCUCCUAUGCCUAAUCAAGCUGGGCAAAAUCCUGGGCCUAACAUGCCUGGACCUGCCAACAACAUGAGGACUCCCAACAAUAUGGGGCCCCCGCCCCCCAACGCGGGUCCAAUGCCUCCCCAUAACAACAUGGGUCCAAACUACAGUAAUGUGCAGCAGCCAAACAACUGGAGUGGUGGGCAGCCCAACAACAAUAGCAAUCAGAUACCUCAUGAUUAUAAUCAGAUGCCGCCACCACCACCUAACUACAAUCAGAUGCCCCCUAACAACAUGGGAGGUGUACCGCCAAACAACAUGAGAGGGGUGCCACCAAACAACAUGGGAGGAGUGUCCCCACCACCAAAUAACAUGGGAGGAGUGUCCCCACCGCCUAAUGCAGGAUGGGGGGGGUCCUGGGCAGUUCCAAGAUAACUACAUGCCAGGCAGGGACGAUGGAGGCAUCCCCGGUGCAAACUGUUACUGAGCUUGAGGCUACGUCACGAUGAGUCUUGUAGGCAUGCUGUAGAUAAGCAAGGAGGCUGCUCUAGAUGGGCUGUAGGUUUUUUAUGUCACCGUUCUGUAAUGAUAUUUUGUUUGGCUUAUUGCUGGGUGCGAACCUGGUUGCCUUUUUAUCUGAAUAUGAUUACACUUUCAGGGUCGUAUCUGAUUGGAUUAAUCGUAUCUUUGCUUUGCUA